rfam:Trichobilharzia regenti genome assembly, scaffold: TRE_scaffold0076070
GUACUGCCGAAGAGUCCCAAAUUAGGCUGACGAAACAGCUGUCCAGUAC